GCCACCUUAAACCUGGGAGGUGGGUGGAGAGGCAGGCGCAGACACGGGGAGCAAAAACUUCCUGCUUGCAGUGGUAGGAGCACCCAGGGCAUCCCCUUCUUGCUGUGAAGUUGGGUGAAUAGAUGGGUGCUACUCUGUGAAGCUCCCCAAGACCUGGAUUGCUGAUGGCUCCAUGCUGUGGAAAGCCCCUUGAGCCAGUGGGAUGAAUCUCAGGUGCUCAUUCAGGCUGUCCCCUCCUGCCUCAUGGAGAGCUGAAUGCUGGAGAUAAUUCUGAGUCUAUAAAACUUUGCUGGAUAUAGCUCUGUUUGCAGGCCCUCAUUCCAGUUUUGAGGAUAUCCCCAGAGUUUGUGCUACAGCUGUGCAAUCAUCUGACUUGGAGCUUCGACCAGAGGCUGCACAAAGGCAAACUGUGCAAACCUGCUUUCCCCCUUGCACCUAGCACCUGUGACACUCUGCUCCUCACAGACCUCAGUAAAAUGAAGACUGCACCUCUUGGCAGGUCUUGAAAAGCAGGUUAGUCAAAUGUCUGCCAGGAAUGGCUCAGAUGUACUUUCUCCUGCAUUGGACUGGAAGAAUGGUGUUCUACAAGCAUAGGAAAUUAUAUCACCUGAUGGUUGGACUAUUAGAUGGAUGACAACUACAGUGCUAGCUACUAGCCAAAUUGUCUGCCUGGGGACAUGGUGGAGUCACCAUCCCUGGAUGUG